rnacentral:lncRNA from 1 species
AGAAUUCCAGACGUCAUUAGUAGAAACUCAAGGCAUGACCAUUGCACAGCUGAGUGCUUCCAGGACAGACGUUACGGCAUGAGCAUGCAGCUCCACCACUCUGCUCCAAAGUCCAUACUUAUCUCUUGGUUUAGCUUCUAUCUAGGAAGAGUGAUAGCAUCUAUCUAAAGGCUUUGGUGACAGUGUGAGGUUUAGGCAAAAUCAUGCAUUCGGGGAGAUGUCUAACUUCAGAACGCCCUCUCAUCUGAGGACUGUGAAUGCCUUUUCAUUUGGGAAGAAGUCUUAAGCCCUGUUUCUCAGAGCUGUUGAUCUGAUUGUUCUCGAAGCUGUACAUUGCAGCUGAUGGGUGAUGCUGAAAACAAGGCCCGGGACCUUGGACAUGCUAGGCAAGCACUCUGUGCCUGAUCUGAACCACCCGACUUAACAGACAUUUUCCUGAGUUUCUUCUGCAGGUGCAUCCCAAGCGCUAGGCUACGUGGAUGUGCAUGUCUUGGGGCUUUUCAAUCACGCACAAAACUAUUCUUCAAAACAUGUUUGCAAAAGAUGAAUAUUCAUGUCACCAUGCCUUGGCCAUACAUAUCUGUAUCAGAUUGUAUUUUUCCGACACAUGACCUUUGAAAAGAAUCUGCUGCCACUGAAGAUGAUUUUGUUUGGUGUGUUUUGUUUCUUGUGGCCAAGAUCCCUAAAGUAUGUAAGUCAGAAGUCGGUACUGGGGAAUGGUCUACUGCUGUGACAGCCCUGACCAUGCUGUUCUUUGGAGAAAUCUGGACGGCUGGGAGUUUGGAUUAGGAGAGAAGGUCUUUGACAGAGGAAGAAAUCAAAUGGAACGUUUGAAUAAGAGCUAAAGAACCAUCGAGAAAAGAGAAAAGGUGCUACAGCAUACCACCGGGGAAAACUC